GACUCUUCACACUGAACAUUCCAAAUUAAACCUAAUUAAUACUCAGGGUAAUAACCCAUAAAAGGUCUACACAACCAUCCAACAUGCUAAAGGGGUAAAAGACCAUUUUACCCUUCUCUUAAUGGGCCCCUCAACCCAUGACCUAAGCCCAAAAGACCUAAGGCCCAACAAGGUUCAAGAGACCUAAAGCCUAAUGUUAUGAACUGAUUUGUAAUAACAGAUUCAAUAACAUAAAAACUACCCAAUGAUUCUAAUAUUGAUUGGAAACAUUGUAUAAUAGCCAAAAGAUUACAAGAACGAAGGAUAGGUUAGCUGAUUCGAGAUAGCCACUCUCCCAAGAGGAAAUAAUUCCAGGUUUAACAGAAAAGAUCGAUAUCUCAAUUCCUAUCCCACUACCCUCUUAUACUAUCAGUCAUAACAACUAAAUAAUAUAAAAUACCCAUAAUGCCCCUAUACUAAUCAAGAUGCUCUUUAUUUGUUGAUUUCCCCAAAUUACCCUUAUCUAAAAUGACAUGAUCUAGUGGAUGCAUAACAAUAUCCCGCCCUCGAAGAACCACCUUGUCCUCAAGGUGGAUAAAAACGAUGUACAUCAUCCCCAUUCUUCCAGCUGGCCUCUUUAUCUUUUCCUCAGCCUUACAAUGAUCUACAACCACCCCAUAUAUUCCACCCAUUUCCACUUGCUUCAUUGCACCCAUGAUCAUCUUAACAGCUUUAACAUCAGUCUUCCCCAUCUCAUUAAUAAUCAAACAUGGGGGCAAGUAAUGGUCAUUAGAGCCAUCCGCCUUCUUGAGCUUGACUAAAGGCAUAGCAAUACCCCAUCCCAAAAGAUGAACCUUGUCCUCAAGGUGAAAGGAUAGAAGGAUGCAAUGCACGACUUCCAACACAGACAUAACUUUCCACUGUUCUUGUAGCUUCUCAUUGCUUAUAUUGGCAUCUUUCUUACUCAUUUUCAUUAUAAUUGUCUUCUCAAUUGGUUGGGUAGUAGCUUUUUCCACAGAAAGAACACCCCAACCAUUCCAUAUCUUCUCAAUGAUCUCACUCUUCAUGAUAUGGUGAUCAAGCAAAUCAGCCACACCAAAGGCAAUAACAUCACAAUACUUAUAUCUACACACUUGUCCCACUUUAACUACUCUAUGUUUUGUCAGGUUACCUACAUAAUUGAGAUCUCCCUCCUGUAAGCAAUCACUUUCAUACACCUGAUCCUUCAUUUUCUUCAGUAUAAUCUCCUCCUUAAGCUUCUCAGAUAAGACUACCCCACAAACACAUACUCGUUUGUUACUAGCACCUUUUUGAAGUAUAGCUUUCUCUGUUUGGAAUCCAGAUUCCCCAACGUUCCCACCAUCCUCAUGAAAAUAUAUGCUCACGGUUGUAUUUUGAGCUAUGCCUUCAAUGAGACGAGAUACAAGUCUAGAUGUUAAUUCUAGUAUGUUCAUUUGCAGAUCAAUUUUCUUACCACGCUCAUCAACAUUUAUUUUUAUUUUGUCCAGAAGCUCUGUUGGUGUAGAUUCUCCAAGGUUUAAUUCAAAAAAAAUGGGAUGACCUGCACAGUAACAGUCUGCAAAUAUUUUCCAUUAUAUCUAUCUUCGAUGCUUCACCAGGAAGACAGAAACCUCUAAGAAAUCCACCGAUUGCAGUAUGAAAUUUCAUUUCAGAAACGUUCAUAGAGUCAACAUUAGCAUGCGAUACCGCAAGGAAGAACUCUUUGUGUUGACCCAAGUAGUCACCAAUUAUUGCCUUGUCUAAGCUUGGGGUAUUUCUAAGAAAUUGGACAAUUGAAACUAGUGUAUUCUCCACCCAACCAUUUGAUUUCAGAAAUUCAAUGGCAGUUAAGGGAUGACGGUUGAACUCAGAUAUUGCGGCUCCCAUGGUGUAUUUAUGAACUUUAACUUUCUCAAAGUUAUUUGCCUCAUCACUCCCAACUUGACACCUUGCAACUGAAGAAUUUUUCUCUAUAGAUUUUUGGUUUUCACUUUGCUUUGACUUAUACCCUUUCUUUGAUCGUCUCUUAGAGGAAAUAUUGUUGUGAAGGUGUAGGGUCUUAAUGCCCGCUACAGAUUCUUGAAGACGGAUACCAUGUAGGAACAAGCUGCUAGAGCGAUGAGAUUCCGGAGAAACAACUUCCAAUGGAGGAAAUAAGAUGGGAAAACUGUGAGUUAUAGUAUCGACGUUAACUAGGUCAAGAUAAGGCUGUGGACUUCCGGUGAAGAUUUUGAGCAGCUCGAGCUUGAUUUCGGGAUCAGGAAACCUUUUGGACCGGUCUGGAUAUCUGAUUCGACAGGCGAUAUCAUUGCGAAGGCGCCCUUCCUGUGAAUACGAUGUUGAUUGGGGUUUAGUCGUUUUAACUUCAGUCGGGCUUACACCUUCGUCAACUUUGUCAUAUAAACCAAUUAUAAGAUUCGGACUGACUUGGCCCAAAGAAUUAAUUUCAGCCCACUUGUCCAUUUUAAACCCAGGUUGGGAAAACCCUAGAAACGUUACCUCUGUUACGUCUUCUUCUAACAGAGUCGUUACCUCACAUUUGGUGACCAGAGAAGACGUCACUAGCUUCCGACGAUCCCCGAUCGCUCCUUCCCGGUUCAAAAUUAGAUNCCGGAACGGUGUAAGUGAUGACGGUGGUGGUCGGAACUGACAACGAAUCCAGCUCUUCAUCUCUUCCCAAUCUCUAACGGGUCGUCUUCGAUGCUCCCGUUCAUACCACAAUAGUACGUCGCCCUCUAGAGCCCCCACCGCAGCUUCCAUUUUUUCUUCAUCUUCAUAUGAGCAGAAUGACCUUUCUACAUUAAAAAUGCACUCCUCUGUGUUAGUUUCAACCAACAAGAUCAUCUCAUGUUUGUGAAAUCUCCGGUUGGUCCCUCCACUAUAUUCGCCUGCGGUAAUAUAGCCGCCGCCUCUGCCGGCGGAACCACCUCCUGUUCCAUUUCUUGAACCUCUUGUAUCAGUGUGCGACGAUCCUCUGUAAACCCUUGGAGUUUCCUCCAUGGAUAGAACCAGAGUGUUGUUAGGCUCUCCCUCCACGGUUUUCUUCUCAUUGUUGAUUGUUGGUCGGCUUUUGGCUAUGGCACCCAAAAUCUCCUCGAACUUUUGAUCCAUCUUCAACUAAUUUUGGUCCAUCUUCAACUGAAGAGAGGCUAUGGAGUCAUUCUGAUGUUGGAUCUGACGCCCAUGAUUCUCCAUUCGAUCAUACAACUGCCUUAUUUCAGUUUCUAGAGAUUCAACCCUCUUGAGAAGACCUCCUCCAGCAUCCUUCCCUCCUCCUUUAUCUCCAGUCCUAAUCCCAGAUGAUGAAUGCUCUGAUACCAUUUGUUAUGAACUGAUUUGUAAUAACAGAUUCAAUAACAUAAAAACUACCCAAUGAUUCUAAUAUUGAUUGGAAACACUGUAUAAUAGCCAAAAGAUUACAAGAACGAAGGAUAGGUUAGCUGAUUCGAGAUAGCCACUCUCCCAAGAGGAAAUAAUUCCAGGUUUAACAGAAAAGAUCGAUAUCUCAAUUCCUAUCCCACUACCCUCUUAUACUAUCAGUCAUAACAACUAAAUAAUAUAAAAUACCCAUAAUGCCCCUAUACUAAUCAAGAUGCUCUUUAUUUGUUGAUUUCCCCAAAUUACCCUUAUCUAAAAUGACAUGAUCUAGUGGAUGCAUAACAAUAUCCCGCCCUCGAAGAACCACCUUGUCCUCAAGGUGGAUAAAAACGAUGUACAUCAUCCCCAUUCUUCCAGCUGGCCUCUUUAUCUUUUCCUCAGCCUUACAAUGAUCUACAACCAUCCCAUAUAUUCCACCCACUUCCACUUGCUUCAUUGCACCCAUGAUCAUCUUAACAGCUUUAACAUCAGUCUUCCCCAUCUCAUUAAUAAUCAAACAUGGGGGCAAGUAAUGGUCAUUAGAGCCAUCCGCCUUCUUGAGCUUGACUAAAGGCAUAGCACCUAAC
rnacentral:lncRNA from 1 species